GCUGCCUCGGGCGAGCAUUGCCUCGGCCGAUCCGCCUCGUGUCGGUUUUUUGUCGCGCUCAAAGGUGCCUCAGUCCAUUUGGCGCGCGCACUCAGGACGGAAGUUGUGUGCCUCGCUCGCUCCCGUCAUGGAUAAGGAGCUGUGCUUGAAACUUAUCGAGCAAUAUGGGAAUUACAAACUUCUUUGGGACGCGCAAUGUCCACAAUACAUAAACAGGGGAUUGAGGGAAGAUGCAUGGAGAAAUAUAAGCAGAGAAAUGAAUCUCCCAGUAAAAGAUCUGAAAAAGAAGAUGCAGCCUUUGAUGGGAUCACACCGAAGAGAAAAAUCAAGGGAGAAAAAAAUCCGGGUUACAGGAUCAGGUCGUACAAGGUGUAUACUUCAACAUGGUAUGCAUAUGGAGCUUUCAGCUUUAUGGGAGAUAGAAAUGAUCCAGGUCAAACCCAAGAUACUUUUCAUACGCAAGAAGACAUUCAGGAAGAAGUACAACAUAUUGACAAUGAACAAUCGCAGAGGCAAAAUAACUCCAAUGAAGCACCAGGUGAUGAAAGCAGGAAUGAAACUCAAGAAUCAACUAGAGGACUGGGACAACAACAAGAAAAUUCCAAAAAGAAGAGCUAAAAAGAGAUCUGCAGCUGUACAAGAGAUAUCAGAUAAUACUAUAACCGAAGCAUUUAAACUUUUGGAACAAUGUGUAGGCGACGCUAAUGCUCCGCAGCCCCGUGCAAACGAUUCAUAUGAUGCUUUUGGGCAAUACAUUGCUCACGAACUAAGAAAAUACGACAAUUAUACUUUAGCGCAUGAAAAAAAUUCUAUCUGUAGGAUCAUUUUUGAAACAGAUACUGGUGCACAACAACAUUAUGUGCCAAACGCUCACACCUACGGUUCAGCAUAUUCCACUUAAGGUGACUCUUGUUCUAUCCCUUCAAUGUCACCGAUGCCUCCUCCGCCGAUACAUUCUAGCUCACCAAUGCCUUCUCCGUCACCUUCUACCUCACCAAUGCCUCCUCCGCCGAUACAUUCUAGCUCACCAAUACCUUCUCCGUCACCAAUACCUUCUACCCCACCAAUGCCUCCUCCGCCGAUACAUUCUAGCUCACCAAUGCCUUCUCCGUCACCAAUACGUUCUACCUCACCAAUGCCUCCUCCGCCGAUACAUUCUAUUUAAUCAAUGCCACCUCCACAUAAUGAAUAAAUAGAUUUAAAAAAGU